rnacentral:rRNA from 1 species
GACGAACGCUGGCGGCGUGCUUAACACAUGCAAGUCGAACGGAAAGGCCCUGCUUUUGUGGGGUGCUCGAGUGGCGAACGGGUGAGUAACACGUGAGUAACCUGCCCUUGACUUUGGGAUAACUUCAGGAAACUGGGGCUAAUACCGGAUAGGAGCUCCUGCUGCAUGGUGGGGGUUGGAAAGUUUCGGCGGUUGGGGAUGGACUCGCGGCUUAUCAGCUUGUUGGUGGGAUAGUGGCUUACCAAGGCUUUGACGGGUAGCCGGCCUGAGAGGGUGACCGGCCACAUUGGGACUGAGAUACGGCCCAGACUCCUACGGGAGGCAGCAGUGGGGAAUAUUGCACAAUGGGCGGAAGCCUGAUGCAGCAACGCCGCGUGCGGGAUGACGGCCUUCGGGUUGUAAACCGCUUUCGCCUGUGACGAAGCGUGAGUAACGGUAAUGGGUAAAGAAGCACCGGCUAACUACGUG